rnacentral:rRNA from 1 species
GCCUACACAUGCAGUCGACGGUAACAGGAAACAGCUUGCUGUUUCGCUGACGAGUGGCGGACGGGUGAGUAAUGUCUGGGAAACUGCCUGAUGGAGGGGGAUAACUACUGGAAACGGUAGCUAAUACCGCAUAACGUCGCAAGACCAAAGAGGGGGACCUUCGGGCCUCUUGCCAUCGGAUGUGCCCAGAUGGGAUUAGCUAGUAGGUGGGGUAACGGCUCACCUAGGCGACGAUCCCUAGCUGGUCUGAGAGGAUGACCAGCCACACUGGAACUGAGACACGGUCCAGACUCCUACGGGAGGCAGCAGUGGGGAAUAUUGCACAAUGGGCGCAAGCCUGAUGCAGCCAUGCCGCGUGUAUGAAGAAGGCCUUCGGGUUGUAAAGUACUUUCAGCGGGGAGGAAGGGAGUAAAGUUAAUACCUUUGCUCAUUGACGUUACCCGCAGAAGAAGCACCGGCUAACUCCGUGCCAGCAGCCGCGGUAAUACGGAGGGUGCAAGCGUUAAUCGGAAUUACUGGGCGUAAAGCGCACGCAGGCGGUUUGUUAAGUCAGAUGUGAAAUCCCCGGGCUCAACCUGGGAACUGCAUCUGAUACUGGCAAGCUUGAGUCUCGUAGAGGGGGGUAGAAUUCCAGGUGUAGCGGUGAAAUGCGUAGAGAUCUGGAGGAAUACCGGUGGCGAAGGCGGCCCCCUGGACGAAGACUGACGCUCACGUGCGAAAGCGUGGGGAGCAAACAGGAUUAGAUACCCCUGGUAGUCCACGCCCUAAACGAUGUCGACUUGUAG